rnacentral:rRNA from 1 species
CUACGGGGUGCACCAGUGAGGAAUAUUGCACAAUGGGGGGAAUCCUGAUGCAGCAACGCCGCGUGGAGGAUGACGCAUUUCGGUGUGUAAACUCCUUUUAUAUGUCAAGAAAAUGACGGUAGCAUAUGAAUAAGCACCGGCUAACUCCGUGCCAGCAGCCGCGGUAAUACGGAGGGUGCAAGCGUUACUCGGAAUCACUGGGCGUAAAGGACGCGUAGGCGGGUUGGAAAGUCAGGUGUGAAAUCCUACAGCUUAACUGUAGAACCGCACUUGAAACUUCUAAUCUAGAGUAUGGGAGGGGGAGAUGGAAUUAGUGGUGUAGGGGUAAAAUCCGUAGAUAUCACUAGGAAUACCUAAAGCGAAGGCGAUCUCCUGGAACAUUACUGACGCUAAGGCGUGAAAGCGUGGGGAGCAAACAGGAUUAGAUACCCUUGUAGUC